ACCCGCACAAGCGGUGGAUGAUGUGGUUAAUUCGAUGCAACGCGAAAACCUUACCCACCUUUGACAUGUACGGAAUCCUUUAGAGAUAGAGGAGUGCUCGAAAGAGAGCCGUAACACAGGUGCUGCAUGGCUGUCGUCAGCUCGUGUCGUGAGAUGUUGGGUUAAGUCCCGCAACGAGCGCAACCCUUGUCAUUAGUUGCUACGAAAGGGCACUCUAAUGAGACCGCCGGUGACAAACCGGAGGAAGGUGGGGAUGACGUCAAGUCCUCAUGGCCCUUAUAGGUGGGGCUACACACGUCAUACAAUGGCUGGUACAAAGGGUUGCCAACCCGCGAGGGGGAGCCAAUCCCAUAAAGCCAGUCGUAGUCCGGAUCGCAGUCUGCAACUCGACUGCGUGAAGUCGGAAUCGCUAGUAAUCGUGGAUCAGCAUGUCACGGUGAAUACGUUCCCGGGUCUU
rnacentral:rRNA from 1 species